rnacentral:rRNA from 1 species
CCAUCGCUCAACGGAUAAAAGCUACCCCGGGGAUAACAGGCUGAUCGGGUCCAAGAGUCCACAUCGACGACCCGGUUUGGCACCUCGAUGUCGGCUCAUCGCAUCCUGGGGCUGAAGCAGGUCCCAAGGGUUGGGCUGUUCGCCCAUUAAAGCGGUACGCGAGCUGGGUUCAAUACGUCGUGAGACAGUAUGGUCCUGAUCCGUCGCGGGCGCAAGGAUAUCUGAGAGGAGCUGCUCCUAGUACGAGAGGGCCGGAGUGGACAAACCUCUGAUGUACCAGUUGUGGCACCAGCCGCAAUCGCUGGGUAGUCAUGUUUGGAAGGGAUAAAUGCUGAAAGCAUAUAAGCAUGAAGCCCACCUCAAGAUUAGAUAUCCCAUCCUGAAGGUUUUUAACUGCUGGUUUCCAGCAGUUAAAUUCCCGAGGGAGUAAGACCUCUCCGAGAUGAGGAGGUUGAUAGGCCAGAGGUGUAAGACCUGUAAGGGUUUGAGCUGACUGGUACUAAUAGGUCGAGGACUUAACCACAC